GGGCCCGCACAAGCGGAGGAGCAUGUGGUUUAAUUCGAUGAUACGCGAGGAACCUUACCUAGACUUGAACGUAAGAGUAAUAUAUAAGAGAUUAUGUAGCUAGAAAUAGAUUCUUACGAGGUGCUGCAUGGUUGUCGUCAGCUCGUGCCGUGAGGUGUCAGGUUAAGUCCUAUAACGAGCGCAACCCUUGUACUUAGUUACCAGCAUGUAAAGAUGGGGACUCUAAGUAGACUGCCGGCGUAAGCCGAGAGGAGGGAGGGGAUGACGUCAAAUCAGCACGGCCCUUACGUCUAGGGCGACACACGUGCUACAAUGGUAGAUACAGAGGGCAGCGAGCCAGUAAUGGUGAGCGAAUCUCAAAAGUCUAUCUUAGUUCGGAUUGGAGUCUGCAACCCGACUUCAUGAAGAUGGAUUCGCUAGUAAUCGCAGAUCAGCCAUGCUGCGGUGAAUACGUUCCCGGGCCUU
rnacentral:rRNA from 1 species